ensembl:snRNA U6 U6 spliceosomal RNA
GUACUCACUUCGGCAGCAUAUAUACUAAAAUUGGAACAAUACAGAGAUUAGCAUGGCCCCUGCGCAAGGAUGACCCACAAAUUCAUGAAGCAUUCCAUAUUAAA